CGUAGGGGGCAAGCGUUGUCCGGAAUCAUUGGGCGUAAAGCGCGUGUAGGCGGCUCGGUAAGUCCGCUCUGAAAGCCCGGGGCUCAACCCCGGGAGGCGGGUGGAUACUGCUGGGCUCGAGUCCGGAAGAGGAGUGUGGAAUUCCUGGUGUAGCGGUGAAAUGCGCAGAUAUCAGGAGGAACACCAAUGGCGAAGGCAGCACUCUGGGACGGUACUGACGCUGAGACGCGAAAGCGUGGGGAGCAAACAGGAUUAGAUACCCUGGUAGUCCACGCCGUAAACGAUGGGCACUAGGUGUGGGAGGUGUCGACUCCUUCCGUGCCGAAGCUAACGCAUUAAGUGCCCCGCCUGGGGAGUACGGCCGCAAGGCUA
rnacentral:rRNA from 1 species